UACGUAGGGACCGAGCGUUGUCCGGAAUCAUUGGGCGUAAAGCGCGUGUAGGCGGCCAGGUAGGUCGGUUGUGAAAAUUGGAGGCUCAACCUCCAGACGUCGAUCGAAACCAUCUGGCUAGAGUCCGGAAGAGGAGAAUGGAAUUCCUGGUGUAGCGGUGAAAUGCGCAGAUAUCAGGAAGAACACCAAUGGCGAAGGCAGUUCUCUGGGACGGUACUGACGCUGAGACGCGAAAGCGUGGGGAGCGAACAGG
rnacentral:rRNA from 1 species